UACGUAGGGUGCAAGCGUUAAUCGGAAUUACUGGGCGUAAAGCGUGCGCAGGCGGAUGCUUAAGCCAGAUGUGAAAUCCCCGGGCUUAACCUGGGAACUGCAUUUGGAACUGGGCGUCUAGAGUACAGCAGAGGGAGGCGGAAUUCCACGUGUAGCAGUGAAAUGCGUAGAGAUGUGGAGGAACACCGAUGGCGAAGGCAGCCUCCUGGGUUGAUACUGACGCUCAUGCACGAAAGCGUGGGGAGCAAACAGG
rnacentral:rRNA from 1 species